rnacentral:tRNA from 1 species
UACUCCAGCUAAUGGAAAAAUGCCUUUGAAUGGUCGUAAUCGUCGACAACCCAACCGACGUCCACCAUAGGCUC